rnacentral:tRNA from 8 species
GGAGGGGUACCCAAGCGGCCAACGGGAGCAGACUGUAAAUCUGCCGGCUUACGCCUUCGUAGGUUCGAAUCCUACCCCCUCCACCA